rnacentral:rRNA from 1 species
ACGGCUCAGUAACACGUGGCUAAUCUGCCCUUGGGACCGAAACACCCCCGGGAAACUGGGGCUAAUUCUCGAUAGGUGAAGAACUCUGGAAUGAGUCUUUGCCAAAAAGACGUUUACGUUAUGCUCGUAGGCGUCGCCCAAGGAUGAGGCCGCGACCGAUCAGGUUGUUGGUGAGGUAAUGGCUCACCAAGCCUUUUACCGGUGCGGGCCGUGAGAGCGGGAGCCCGGAGGUGGGCACUGAGACAAGGGCCCAGGCCCUACGGGGCGCAGCAGUCGCGAAAACUUUGCAAUACACGAAAGUGUGACAGGGCUAUCCCGAGUGCCAUCCGCUGAGGAAGGCUUUUACCCAGUCUAGAACGCUGGGGGAAUAAGGAGAGGGCAAGUCUGGUGUCAGCCGCCGCGGUAAUACCAGCUCUCCGAGUGGUGUGGAUGUUUAUUGGGCCUAAAGCAUCCGUAGCUGGCUGAGUUAGUCCCUUGUUAAAUCCACCGAAUUAAUCGUUGGAUUGCGGGGGAUACUGCUCGGCUAGGGGACGAGAGAGGCAGACGGUAUUUCUGGGGUAGGGGUGAAAUCCUAUAAUCCCAGGAGGACCACCAGUGGCGAAGGCUGUCUGCUAGAACGCGCCCGACGGUGAGGGAUGAAAGCUGGGGGAGCGAACCGGAUUAGAUACCCGGGUAGUCCCAGCUGUAAACGAUGCAGACUAGGUGUUUGGACGGCCACGUGCCGUUCUAGUGCCGCAGGGAAGCUGUUAAGUCUGCCGCCUGGGGAGUACGAUCGCAAGAUUGAAACUUAAAGGAAUUGGCGGGGGAGCAC